CCCUUAGAUGUCCUGGGCCGCACGCGCGCUACGCUGAUGCAUUCAACGAGCCUAUCCUUGACCGACAGGUCCGGGUAAUCUUUGAAUCUGCAUCGUGACGGGGAUAGAUUAUUGCAAUUAUUAAUCUUCAACGAGGAAUGCCUAGUAGGCGCAAGUCAUCAGCUUGCGUCGAUUACGUCCCUGCCCUUUGUACACACCGCCCGUCGCUCCUACCGAUUGGGUGUGCUGGUGAAAUGUUCGGAUCGGCCGUUUGUCGCGGUUUCCGCGUCAUGUGGCUGAGAAGUUCAUUAAACCCUCCCACCUAGAGGAAGGAGAAGUCGUAACA
rnacentral:rRNA from 1 species